rnacentral:rRNA from 1 species
UUAAAUUGAAGAGUUUGAUCAUGGCUCAGAUUGAACGCUGGCGGCAGGCCUAACACAUGCAAGUCGAACGGUAACAGGAAGCAGCUUGCUGCCUUGAUGACGAGAGGCCGACGGGUGGGUAAUUGCUGGGUCACGACCCGAGG